UGAGAUCACAGGCUGGUGACACUAUACCUGGCAGUCCAGGUGACCUCUAGUAAGUGGCGUGCUACACAGAGUGACUCAGGGGCAGCCUGUCAAGGAGGGUCCUGCUCUUGGUACCAUCCCUCAAUGUCUCUCCGGAAGUCUAUCCUCAUCCCCAGCAGAGGUGGCCUUGUGACUCUUCAAGUUUAUUUGCUUCUCUGGGAUGAGACUGAGAGCUCUAAGUCUUUUGGGGAGCAAGGAGACACCACGAACAUUAAUAAAGCUCUUUGAACCAAUGGCUGAAAGCUGUGACUCCUG
rnacentral:lncRNA from 1 species